GACGAACGCUGGCGGCGUGCCUAAUACAUGCAAGUCGAACGAGUGGCGGACGGGUGAGUAAUGUCUGGGAAACUGCCUGAUGGAGGGGGAUAACUACUGGAAACGGUAGCUAAUACCGCAUACCAUCAGAUGUGCCCAGAUGGGAUUAGCUAGUAGGUGGGGUAACGGCUCACCUAGGCGACGAUCCCUAGCUGGUCUGAGAGGAUGACCAGCCACACUGGAACUGAGACACGGUCCAGACUCCUACGGGAGGCAGCAGGGGGGAAUAUUGGACAAUGGGCGAAAGCCUGAUGCAGCCAUGCCGCGUGUAUGAAGAAGGUCUUCGGGUUGUAAAGUACUUUAAGCGGGGAGGCGUUACCCGCAGAAUAAGCACCGGCUAACUCCGUGCCAGCAGCCGCGGUAAUUC
rnacentral:rRNA from 1 species